AUGGGUGUUCGUCGACUGGCCCUGCCUCCGGCCGCCGCCACCGCAGCCGCCCACCUUCAUCCUCUCCCCAACCCCGUCGGCCUCCAAUCCACCCCACUCCUCCGCGGGUGCCACCAAACCAUCGCCGCCCUCUCCCCGCACCCGUACCCAAGGAAUCAGCCGGCGGCCAGAUCCGCCCCUCCACUCACCCAACUCUCCCUCCGCCGCCGCGGACCUAGCAGGGAAGACGCGGACGAGAUCCCAAGUCGCUGCUCCUCCUCUCCCGGGAUGCAGCCGCCGCCGCCGAACCAGGGAGACGCCGGCGACCAUCGCCGCCGUCGUGGAUCACCAUGA
rnacentral:rRNA from 1 species